UGCAGCCAUGCCGCGUGUAGGAUGAAGGCCUUCGGGUUGUAAAGUACUUUCAGCGAGGAGGAAGGCAUUGUGGUUAAUAACCGCAAUGAUUGACGUUACUCGUACAAGACGCACCGGCUAACUCCGUGCCAGCUGCCACGGUAAUACGGAAGGUGCGAGCGUUAAUCGGAAUUACUGGGCGUAAAGCGCACGCAGGCGGUCUGUCAAGUCGGAUGUGAAAUCCCCGGGCUCAACCUGGGAACUGCAUUCCAAACUGGCAGGCUGGAGUCUUGUAGAGGGGGGUAGAAUUCCAGGUGUAGCGGUGAAAUGCCUAUAGAUCUGGAGGAAUACCGGUGGCGAACGCGGCCCCCUGGACAAAGACUGACGCUCAGGUGCGAAAGCGUGGGGAGCAAACAGGAUUACAUACCCUGGUAGUCCACGCCGUGGCGAUGUCGACUUGGAGGUUGUUCCCUUGAGGAGUGGCUUCCGGAGCUAAGGGUUAAGUCGACCGCCUGGGGAGUACGGCCGCAUGGUUAAAACUCAAAUGAAUUGACGGGGGCCCGCACAAGCGGUGGAGCAUGUGGUUUAAUU
rnacentral:rRNA from 1 species